GGAUCCAGACUUUGAUUAUGGCUCAGGAUGAACGCUAGCUACAGGCUUAACACAUGCAAGUCGAGGGGCAGCAUGGUCUUAGCUUGCUAAGGCCGAUGGCGACCGGCGCACGGGUGAGUAACACGUAUCCAACCUGCCGUCUACUCUUGGACAGCCUUCUGAAAGGAAGAUUAAUACAAGAUGGCAUCAUGAGUCCGCAUGUUCACAUGAUUAAAGGUAUUCCGGUAGACGAUGGGGAUGCGUUCCAUUAGAUAGUAGGCGGGGUAACGGCCCACCUAGUCUUCGAUGGAUAGGGGUUCUGAGAGGAAGGUCCCCCACAUUGGAACUGAGACACGGUCCAAACUCCUACGGGAGGCAGCAGUGAGGAAUAUUGGUCAAUGGGCGAGAGCCUGAACCAGCCAAGUAGCGUGAAGGAUGACUGCCCUAUGGGUUGUAAACUUCUUUUAUAAAGGAAUAAAGUCGGGUAUGGAUACCCGUUUGCAUGUACUUUAUGAAUAAGGAUCGGCUAACUCCGUGCCAGCAGCCGCGGUAAUACGGAGGAUCCGAGCGUUAUCCGGAUUUAUUGGGUUUAAAGGGAGCGUAGAUGGAUGUUUAAGUCAGUUGUGAAAGUUUGCGGCUCAACCGUAAAAUUGCAGUUGAUACUGGAUAUCUUGAGUGCAGUUGAGGCAGGCGGAAUUCGUGGUGUAGCGGUGAAAUGCUUAGAUAUCACGAAGAACUCCGAUUGCGAAGGCAGCCUGCUAAGCUGCAACUGACAUUGAGGCUCGAAAGUGUGGGUAUCAAACAGGAUUAGAUGCCCUGGUAGUCCACACGGUAAACGAUGAAUACUCGCUGUUUGCGAUAUACAGCAAGCGGCCAGGCGAAAGCGUUAAGUAUUCCACCUGGGGAGUACGCCGGCAACGGUG
rnacentral:rRNA from 1 species